UUAAAAAUUAAAGUAUUUCUUUCAUUAAUUUAUCCAAGACUUUUUAAAUGCGAUUCUCAGCGUGGCUUAUCAUGAUCCCUAUAUUAAAGAUAGUCCAAUAUCUAUGAAGUUAAACUACAUACUCCAAGGCCAAUCAAAGCACUUCUAAUUUACUAUUCUUUAUGGGGAUUCUCUGUUUAACUUGGGAAUGUUAUUUUAAAAAGUGUGCGAGUACAGCUGCAUACAUACAUAGAUACUUUCAAUCACUGAUAUGCAUGCAUGUAAAUGAAUCAUGGUGAAACAAUCAUUUCAAAAGAUAACGAAAGCUUGCCUUAAAGUCUUUUCUUCCACAUUCCCAUGGCCUACUAAAAAUUCUAUCUUAUUGACCAUGUUGUAUUGUCAAUGCUUUCUUGCCCAACCAGAGUAUGAGCUUUAUAUGGGCAGAGACUAUAUAUUUUUUCUCAGUGAUAUCAGUGCAUAACACAGUUCUGGCACUUACUGAUUACUUAUUGAAUAAAUAAUUGAAUGGUGUAAAGUAAAAUAUCAAAUUACAUAAUAGCAUCAUAGGUUAUAAUUCACGUUCGUAUCCAUGAGUGGAUCUGAUUUUUUCCUGCAUAUUCUUGAAUGCUUGAAAAUGCAUCUUUGGUUCAUCCAGGCACAAAUUUUAUAGAAGAGAGUUCUAUUUAAUCAUGUAUAGAUGAAAUAGAAUUAUUACUCAAAAGCAACAGGAGCCACCUAUAGUGCCCAUGACAGAAGCUGAAAGGAGUUGACUUUCCUUGAAUUCUAAGCAAUUGUUGCAUGCUGGUCCCUGGACAAUAAUAUAAAGCUGGUAAAGUUUGUAUUUGAGAUGACCUUCAACCUCCAUUUUUUGAACUUGUUUGACCUUUUGCCUCUUUUCCCAGGCAUCCAAAGCCUCUGGGAUGUGUUCUGACUGUAAAAACUCUGAUGUUGUGAAAAAAGCUUACGCUUUGCCUCCACUCAAACCAGAUGGUGUUUCGCUCUUAUUGCCCAGGCUGGAGUGCAAUGACGUGAUCUUGACUCACCACAGCCUCUGCAUCCAGGAUUCAAGCUAUUCCCCUGCCUCAGCCUCCCAAAAUGCUGGGAUUAUAGGCGUGAGCCACCACGCCUGGCCAGCAUUCCCAAUUUUUAAAAAUGAAUGAUUGGCACAAAUCUUAGAAAGCCAUUUUCUGUAGAUUUGAAAGCAAUGCUAUUUACAUUGUUACUACUUUCUUGUUAAAUCUUGCAUGUCUGCAGUAUGUGUUGUAAUAGAAACCUAAGAUUAUGAUCUGCUGUAUUCAUAUUUGAAGAAGAAAAUUUCAGACUGUAUAAUCAACUAGUUGAUGAUUCAUAUUUGCUUGUACAAAGUUAAAAGUGUAACUUGCCAGAAAAGAAGGAAGCCUGAAAAGUAUUCUAAAUACAUUAAUAAGAAGGGUUCUACAUGAAUUAAUUUUUGUUUUGCCAUCUACAGAGUUCCUGCCACAUUCUAGGCACUUCAUAUUUGCUGCAACAUUUAUUCAGACAUUGACAGAACAAGAGAAACGAAGUUAAAUUUUAAGUACCAUGGAUUGAAAUUAAAUUUAGGGAAGAUAUUUUAUAGUAUGAAUUGUUCAUCUGUAUUUAACAAGGUAUUCAUUUAUUUUGGGCGAUUUAAGGAAGGUCCUUUCUGGAAACAGGAUUACAAACAUAUGGACCUAUUUAGUCAAUUUCAACCUUGUGAUUUUGAAUCUGACAGGUUCUCAGCUGCUUUUAUUAAAUAACGGAUUUUCUUAAUAAUUACUGUACUCAAACUUAGCAAAAAGCUCUAUUUAUAGCCCAGUUUUUUAGUCACACACUAUUGUGUCUUGUCAAAUUGAAACCAUAUACUACAUUCUUUACUUAUUAAGAUGGUCUUUCUUUGUAAUAAUUUUGGAGUAAAUAGUUUACUUAUCUAAACCUCUGAUUUCUGAUUUAACAGAUUUUUGAAGCAUUUAUUUUCCUUACCAUACAUAAAAAUUGUCAGUUGAGGACAAGGAAGGAUUAACCUGGACUACGGUGAAUAAUUGUUCAGGUUGCUUACUGUGUAACUCCAGAGGAGCAUUCACAUGGUACAAUUUGCAGAUUUAAGUAUUUAUUACAACCAUUUUCUGGCAGAUAACAGUGGAACACCCUGUUCUGUUAAAAUUAGUUUAUUAUGACAAAUUGCCUACAGAUGGACAUAAACUGUCUUGAGGAAGGGCACCUGCUUUGGACUGAAUCGUGUCCCCCCAAAAUCAAAUGUUGAAGCCUAAUCUCUAAUAUGAUGGUAUUUGGAGAUGGGGCCUUUGGGAGAUAACUAGGUUUAGAUGAGGUCAAGAGUGUGGGGCCUUCCUGAUUAGUACCCUGAAAAGAGAAAACACCAGAGAGCUUGCCCUCUCUCCCUCUUACCCCACAGGCACACAAAGAGGUCAUGUGAGUACACAGUGAGAUAACAACCACCUAUGAGAAAACAGAAGAGGCUUCAGAGUGAAAUCUACUUUGCUGGUACUGUAAUCUUGGACAUUAUUCUCUAGAACUGUGAGAUAAUAAAUUUAUCUUAUUUAAGCCACCCAGUCUAUGGUAUUUUGUUAUGGCACCCUGAACUAAGACAAAUUUUGGUACCAAGAAAUGGGGGUGCUACUGUAACUAAUACCUAAACAUGGGGAAAUGACUUUGGAAUUGGAUAGUGAGUAGAGGCUCAAGAAUUUUCAGGUGCAUCCUAAACAUAUGAACAAACAGUAAAGGUGAUUCUGGUGAGACCUCAGAUGGAAUUGAGGAAUAUGUUAUUGGAAACUGGAAGGACGGUGAUCCUUGUUACAAAGUGGCAAAAAACUUAGGUGAACUGUAUUCUAGUGUUUUGAGGAAGGUAGAACUUGUGAGUGAUGAAAUUAAAUAUUUGACAUUUCUAAGCAAUAUGAUGAAGGAGCAGCUGGUUUCCUCCUGACCAUUUCUGCUGAAAUGAAAAAAAAAAAGAUAAGUUGAAGAAGAAAUUGUUCAGCAAAAAGGAACCAGAACUUGAAGAUUUGGGAAAUUCUCAGCUUAUCCACAUUAUUAAAAAAUGACAAAAACUUGCUCUGAAAAUAACACUAGGAGUGUGACUGGACAACCAUUUGAUAAGAGUUUAUGAGAUUAUGUGAGCAGAAAUUCUGCCAGUUUGAACUGAAGGGGAUGAAGAUGGGACAAAAAGAAUGAAGGCUUCGAGACUUCUUGGGUUAGACAUGAUGGGCUGAUUUGCUUAUUUGGCUGUGAACCUGCACUAUUUUUCAAGGAGAGGAAAAAAUGGCCCCAAAGGCAAUUCAGAGAUAGCCAGAGCCACAGCCUCAGUUUCAACAGGCUGGACAGUCUCCACUCAGCUCUUUGGAGGCAGAACCACUCAGAGGACUCAAGCCUGUCAGAGCUAGGGGGUGGGGCUGGCAAUCCCACAGGGUGGAAAGGAUGGGGCUAUCCUGCAAAUCCAUGUGGGUGAUGUCUUGGGUGGAAUGCUCUGGACUGAACUGUCCUCCCAUCCCCUGCUCAGAUUCUGUGUUGAAGCCCUUACCUCCAGUGUUACGGUAUUUGGAGAUGGGGUCUUUGUAAGAUAAUUGGGUUUAGAUGAGAUCAUGAGAGUGAGGCCCUCAGGAUUAGUGCCCUUAUAAGAAACCUCGGAAAGCUUGCGAGUUCUCUCUCUCUCUCUUUCUUUUUCUUUCUCUCUCUCUCUCCCCGUGUGUGUGUGUGUGUGUGUGUGUGCGCGCGCACACGCGCGCGUCAUGUGGAAACACAGCACAAAGGCAGCCUCUGCAAGCCAGGAAGAGGGCUCACGAGAACCCAAUCAAGCUGGCACCCCAAUCUCAAACUUCCACCCUCCGAAACUGUGAGAAAAUAAAUUUCUGUUGUUUAUGCUUAUGUUCAAUGAAGAAAAUAUGCGUAACAAGUGAUUUAACAAUAAUGUGAUAAUUCAUUGGAUUACUCUAAGAAAUAUGAGUUUUUUUACGGCAAACUCUCCACAACACACUUGAUAAUAGAUUGAGAGGAAAUGGCUGUGUAAAUAAUUAAGCUGAGAAAAUAAGUUACAUUUGCUCUCACAGAUCAGUGGUCAAAGAGAGACAAAAUGCUGAGGGUGGGGUGGGGUGGACAGGACAUUGAGGAUCAAAAGCACUUGGGAUCAGCUUCAAACUGAAGGUAAUAACUGGAGUCUUAGACACGGGUUUUUCCAGGAAAACAAAAUGAGAGAAGUCAGAUCAAGCAGAGGAAGUUGUAUGAACAAUCACUAAACUUCCUGACUUAUUCUCCAAGUUUCUUAUUCCUAAACUACAAAUAUCUUGAUUGCAUUCUGAGAACAUGCUGUGCCUCCCUCUGUCUUAGCAGUCACUACUUUAUAUUAAAAUAUAUUUUGAUGCUUUCCUUUCCCAUAGAUUCUCCAAGUCAUAAACAAUACCCCCAGCACCUAGCACAGAGCCUGGUACCAUGUUGUUUGUCAAAUUAGACUGAGCUCUGAUAUUGCCUUUUUCACCAGGUGGUCCAUACUCUCUUCUACUUUCCUUUAAUACACUGGCGUAUGUUUUGUAAGCCCUCGCCACAUUGUAUUCAAUUGUUUGUUAAUGUGUUUGUCUUCCUAAUUAGACUGUGAAAUUCUUGAAGGCAGAGAUUAGGUCCUGUUCAUCUUUGCAUGAUCAGUGUCUUGCCUAGCAUAUAGUAGGGUUCCCUUGGGGUUCCUUUUUUUAUGAAAUGAACUAACAUUCAGUAUUUCAAAAUUACUGGAAUUUAGUGUGCUUUAGGUAACGGUGAGCAGAAGGAAGAUGGAUAAGAUAUAAGGCUGGGAAAAUAUGGGGAAAAUCCAUGUCUGAGGUUAAUUGAUUAAAAAGGAGGAGCCUUGAGUGACUUCUGUGCUUGGUGUGAUGGUGAUAUUCACCAAGGUAAGUUAUACUAGAAUAAUAAGUUAGGGAGAUAAUAGUGAGUUGAGACAUUUAUGAAAUAUGCAGGUGUCUAGUAGAGUUGGAUAAAUAGGCCUGGAGCUUGAGAAAUUCAGAACAAAGAUAGUGAUUUGGACAUCAUGAGAGGCAGUAUACAGUAAUAAUAAUAAUAAAUAGACUGGACGUGGUGGCUCACGCCUGUAAUCCCAGCACUUUGAGAGGCCGAGGCAGGUGGAUUGCCUGAGCUCAGGAGUUCAAGACAAGCCUGGGAAACAUUGCAAAACCCAUUCUCUACGAAAAAUACAAAAAAUUAGCCAGGCAUGGUGGCAUGCGCCUGUGGUCCCAGCUACUUGGGAGGCUGAAGUGGGAGAAUCGCUUGAGCCUGGGAGGUUGAGGCUGCAGUGAGCUCACAUCAUGCCACUGCACUCCAGCCUGGGUGACAGAGGGAGAUCCUAUCUCAAAAAAACAAAACAAAACAAAAUAAUAAUAAUAAUAAUAACUAUUAAAGCACUUUCUAAGUGCUGGGUACUAAUUGCUCAGCACAUGCUAGUACCCUUAAUACUCACAUAAACAAACUUUUGGAGAUGUGCAUAAUUAUCCCCAUUUUACAAACUAGAAACCAAGCCACAGACCUCCUAGUUUACCUUAGGUCGUGCAGAUCUCAAACCAAGCAGGAUUCCCACCCAGUGACUCUGCUUCUAAAAUUCGUACUCAGUAUACACCAGUAUAGGGACUGGGACUGUCAGUCUUUCCUUUGCUUUGUGACUUGAUUAUAUUACCCACCACUUCUGUGCCUCAGUUUCCUCAUUUGCAAACUGAGGGAAAUAAUACUAUCUAUCUCAAUACAGUGCUUGGUACAUGUUAGCACUCAAUCAACCUUAAAUUAUUAUUUCCAUUAGCCUAUUUAUGAAUGUUGAAAUCAUGGAGGAAAAGGAGAUUGGGUGAAUGUGGGGAAUAAGAAAACCAGAGGGUCCUUGAUCCUUUAAGCAGUGGUUGUCUAGAAGGAAAUCUAGUUUGGAGGCUGUGUGAUCAUCCCAAGGGGAAAAGUGAGGCUUCCAGACCUGGGGCCUGGGCAGAAUCUGGGAUGCCUGGUCCAGUGCAGAGGGCUGAGUAUCAGUCAUCCACAGCAAGCACUGCGGUGCUAGAAUGAAAAACUGAGAAGAAAUAUGCCAAAUCAAAAGCCUAGUCAGCCAUCCAAGUGUAAGGUCCAUCUAAAGGAACUGAGCAAAGAAAUAUGAAAAAAAAUCAGCUUAGACAGUAUGAGACAAAGCUUGAAGUUUCUUAAGCAGGUGGUAGGGACUUCAUAGGAUGCCAUGAAACUGAGAGUUGUCCAGAAGACAGCUCUUAAAGACAGUGGUCUUGCACAAGCUGAGUUUGAAGAAUAAUCAAAGUGGUAGGAGGGAAUAAGGAUGAGGCAGGAUCUUAAAAACCCAGGGAGGAAAAAAAUGUGAAGGAUGUGGGGAGAUGGGAGAUUUGGUAAGAUUCCAUUUCUUUCCAGCACCCACAACUUAUUAAUCCCUACAACAGUUUAAUGAGGUGGGCAGUCCAUUUAUUCCCGUUUUUAUAGUUUAGGAAAAUUAGACAACAAUAAUAACUGGCUUUGGGUUACACAGCUGGUGAGCAUCAGAGCUGGGAUUUUAACCCAGGCUGCCUGGCUCUCACGCCCAUGCUUGCAAUCAUCUAUUGCAUAGUCCUUAUUCCUGGCUGAUUUCCUCUUUGUCGUGGCUCACUUUACUCCAUCCCUUGUAUGUUUCUAAAGACAGAGAACAUGGCGUGAACCCGGAAGGCGAAGCUUGCAGUGAGCAAAGAUCGCGCGCGCCACUGCACUCCAGCCUGGGCGACUGAGCGAGACUCCAUCUCAAAAAAAAAAAAAAAAAAAAAAAAAGAGAGAGAGAGAGAGAGAACUUGUUUAUAGCAUUUUCCAUCUCCAUCUACCUACUGUACACUCAGCAAGCCUGGGCGGGGGUAGGAGAGUGGUACACGUUUAGAUUUUAAGGAACUGCCCUCUCAAAUAUUUACGUAUAGUCUGAGUCCUUUCCAUUCCCAGAAGGCUUCAGAUUUUUUGAAACAGGUUUCAGAA
rnacentral:lncRNA from 1 species